rnacentral:rRNA from 1 species
UCCUGGCUCAGAUUGAACGCUGCGGAAUGCUUUACACAUGCAAGUCGAACGGCAGCACGGGGCAACCUGGUGGCGAGUGGCGAACGGGUGAGUAAUACAUCGGAACGUGCCCAAUCGUGGGGGAUAACGUAGCGAAAGUUACGCUAAUACCGCAUACGAUCUACGGAUGAAAGCGGGGGAUCGCAAGACCUCGCGCGAAUGGAGCGGCCGAUGUCAGAUUAGGUAGUUGGUGGGGUAAAGGCUCACCAAGCCAACGAUCUGUAGCUGGUCUGAGAGGACGACCAGCCACACUGGAACUGAGACACGGUCCAGACUCCUACGGGAGGCAGCAGUGGGGAAUUUUGGACAAUGGGCGCAAGCCUGAUCCAGCCAUGCCGCGUGAGUGAAGAAGGCCUUCGGGUUGUAAAGCUCUUUCGGCCGGGAAGAAAUCGCAUGGGUUAAUACCCUGUGUGGAUGACGGUACCGGAAUAAGAAGCACCGGCUAACUACGUG